GCACUGAUGAGGAGUUCCAUACUAGGACGAAACGGCCGUCUAGUGC
rnacentral:hammerhead_ribozyme from 1 species